rnacentral:lncRNA from 1 species
CGCCCACAGUAACCAGCCCACUACCGUGGAUUCCUGGCCGUGUGUGGAGACGGCUCUGCAGUGCCGGACAUCUCCCCUCCCCAGAUGCCAAGGUGGAUCCUUCACCGUCUGAACCGCCAGGGAAGCCCUUCUUUAGUGCUGCUGUAUUUCGUUGUCUAGAUCAAGCAAAGACUCA